rnacentral:rRNA from 1 species
UACGUAGGGGGCUAGCGUUGUUCGGAAUUACUGGGCGUAAAGCGUGCGUAGGCGGUUCGCUGUGUCCGAUGUGAAAGCCCCGGGCUUAACCUGGGAAUGGCAUUGGAAACUGGCGGGCUUGAGUGCGGCAGAGGGGGGUGGAAUUCCGCGUGUAGCAGUGAAAUGCGUAGAGAUGCGGAGGAACACCGAUGGCGAAGGCAGCCCCCUGGGUCGACACUGACGCUCAGGCACGAAAGCGUGGGGAGCAAACAGG